rnacentral:rRNA from 1 species
GAUGAACGCUAGCUACAGGCUUAACACAUGCAAGUCGAGGGGCAGCACAGUGUAGCAAUACACGGGUGGCGACCGGCGCACGGGUGCGUAACGCGUAUCCAACCUUCCCGUUACUCUUGGAUAGCCUUCCGAAAGGGAGAUUAAUACAAGAUGGUAUUCAAAUUCCGCAUGUUAUUUGAAUUAAAGAUUUAUCGGUAACGGAUGGGGAUGCGUGACAUUAGCUAGAUGGAGAGGUAACGGCUCACCAUGGCUACGAUGUCUAGGGGAACUGAGAGGUUUAUCCCCCCANACUGGUACUGAGACACGGUCCAGACUCC